rnacentral:pre_miRNA from 7 species
CUUCGGGGUUCCUGGGUGUCACGCAGAUCUCGGUGGGACCUCCAAAUGAAAGAACUCAGUGGGGAAACCCCGGUGGGGAAACCCCCACUCAGCUCCCGAUUCGGCGUGCACCCAAGAAUCACGAAUAGAACA